UGAGUACGAGCUGCUACGGCAGCGAAGUGGGUGAUGUCAUGCUUCCAAGAAAAGCCCUAUACCCGUUAAGGCAUGAUGGCCUGUACCCGAAACCGACACAGGUGGGGUGGUAGAGAAUACCGAGGGGCGCGAGGUAACUCUCUCUAAGGAACUCGGCAAAAUGGCCCCGUAACUUCGGGAGAAGGGGUGCCACCGCAAGGUGGUCGCAGUGAAGAGGCCCAGGCGACUGUUUACCAAAAACACAGGUCUCCGCUAAGUCGCAAGACGAUGUAUGGGGGCUGACGCCUGCCCAGUGCCGGAAGGUUAAGGAAGCUGGUCGGCGUAAGCGAAGCUAGCGACUGAAGCCCCGGUGAACGGCGGCCGUAACUAUAACGGUCCUAAGGUAGCGAAAUUCCUUGUCGGGUAAGUUCCGACCCGCACGAAAGGCGUAACGAUCUGGGCGCUGUCUCGGAGAGAGGCUCGGCGAAAUAGAAUUGUCUGUGAAGAUGCGGACUACGUGCACCCGGACAGAAAGACCCUAUGAAGCUUUACUGUAGCUUGGUAUUGUGCUCGGGCUCGGAAUGCGCAGGAUAGGUGGGAGGCUAUGAACCAUUGCUUGUGGGUGAUGGUGAGCCACUGGUGAGAUACCACUCUUUCCGAGCUAGAGUUCUAACAGCCACCCGUUGUCCGGGGGCUGGACAGUAUCAGGUGGGCAGUUUGACUGGGGCGGUCGCCUCCUAAAAGGUAACGGAGGCGCGCAAAGGUUUGCUCAGGCUGGUUGGAAAUCAGCCGACGAGUGUAAAAGCAGAAGCAAGCUUGACUGUGAGACCUACAAGUCGAACAGGGAGGAAACUCGGCUUUAGUGAUCCGACGGUUCUGCGUGGAAGGGCCGUCGCUCAACGGAUAAAAGUUACUCUAAGGAUAACAGGCUGAUCUCCCCCAAGAGUUCACAUCGACGGGGAGGUUUGGCACCUCGAUGUCGGCUCAUCGCAACCUGGGGCUGAAGUCGGUCCCAAGGGUUGGGCUGUUCGCCCAUUAAAGCGGUACGCGAGCUGGGUUCAGAACGUCGUGAGACAGUUCGGUCCAUAUCCGGUGCAUGCGCAGGAAUAUUGAGAGGAUUUCUCCCUAGUACGAGAGGACCGGGAGGAACGCACCUCUGGUGUACCAGUUAUCGUGCCAACGGUAAACGCUGGGUAGCCAUGUGCGGAGAGGAUAACCGCUGAAAGCAUCUAAGUGGGAAGCCCACCUCAAGAUGAGUAUUCCCAUGGGGUAACCCAGUAAGGUCACGGGAAGAACACCCGUUGAUAGGCUCUACGUGGAAGCGCAGUAAUGUGUGAAGCGGAGGAGUACUAAUAGACCGAGGGCUUGACCG
rnacentral:rRNA from 1 species